ACAAGCUGAAAAACGUAUGUAAUAAUAACAUGUAAAUGAAACUAAGCCUAGCUUUAAGGUCAUGAAGGUACGUGUUUGUGUGUAUAUAUAUAGUGUAUAGAACUGCAAUGUGGCUCUCCAGAGCCUUCCAAGGCUGAAGAAAAAGCAUUACAACACAGGCUCCAAGCACGCCAAGCACUAAGGUUUUACACAGUUGAAACCAGCCACGUGUAAAAGCCAGAACAGUGGUUGAAGAGGAAAACAACGUGAAACUGUGGAUAAUUUUAUUUACAUCCACGUCUGUGUUCACACAUUUGUGGGGAUUCAGCUCCUGCCCCUGUUCUCUUAGGCUGACGCUGGACACCACGUGGGCCAGUUUACAGGUGGUAAUUAAGCCCCACCGAGGACUGAUUUAGUGAUUUAAUGGUUCCUGGGAACCUCGCUCCUCGCCCCAGCCCGGGCCGGGGGGUUCCCUCAGCGGGGCUCCCGCAGCGCCUUCCCGCCAUUUUCGCACCGCCUGAGCGCGGCCGAGUGUCCGUUAUUUUUGGCGGGCUUCGCCUCAGGGCUGACCCUCACCCCUGUCCCUCAUCCUUGUCCCUCAGGGCUGACCCUCAGCCCACUCCCUCAGGGCUGACCCUCACCCCUGUCCCUCAGCCCACUCCCUCAGGGCUGACCUUCACCCCUGUCCCUCAGCCCACUCCCUCAGGGCUGACCCUCACCCCUGUCCCUCCGCCCGGUCCCUCAGGGCUGACCCUCACUCCACACCCUCAGGCUCGCCCAACGCCGUCAGAACCCUCAGCCCGCGGCCGGCGCUGCCCCUCCGUGUGAGGCACUGCCGAGGGUCGCCCUGCUCUGCCUGAGCUUACUGUUUUUCUACAGCUUUUUCUCUGGGUUUUAGUUGCUUAUCUUCAGAAGAGGCCAGAAAACAACACGCUCUAAGCUCCUAUGCGGUGCAAAAGCUCUCUAUAAACUGAAAUCGAAUCUGGAGUAAUCAAUACAUCGUUGCCUGUUAAGACUCAGCGAAGAAAUGAAAAGGAGUUUUGGUGACACCUCAACUCGCAGCACAGCAGGUUGUCUGCCUGUACCACUGUUCAAUCAGAAAAAAAGAACUAGACAGCCCCUCACUUCAAAUCCAAUUAAAAAUGAGCCAGGUGCCGGUUCUGGGACUCGUACAUAUGACUUCUCUCCCACAUCAUUUGGCUGGGGAACUGCAAACCCAGAAGUGGCUGAACUGCAGAAAGCAGCAAACAGUGGCCAAACAGGACAUCAGAUGGCUCCUUCCCUCAUGAAACCACCAAAUGCAUCAAAGUUUAAUUUAGCAAAUGCUGGAAAAAACUUGGCUGCCUGCAGGAACAGAAAUGAGUAUACUCUGAGUAACACAGCAGAUUCAAGGUCUGAUGGUGGAAUUACUCGAAAGUUUGGGAACCUUUCAAAUAAUUGGAAAACUGUCCAGCAGCAAAAACCCCCUGGUAACCGUAAUUCAUCUCAGCUCCUCAAAACAGAAACCAGCCAGACAAACACAGCUAAAGGACAGUGGCCAGUGAAACCUAACCCUGCACCAAGAAGUCUGCAGGGUCAUAGUCCAGCAUAUAGAUUUAACUACAAUAUUCAGCAAAAUAAAAUGAAUGAAAACCAAAUUGAUUUUGUCCCAGAAGAAAAAAGUCAGGAAGUUCCAUCAUCUCAAAUAAAAAUUAGAGACAAAAGGAAUUCUUUGCGAAUCCUGUCUGCAGUCAUUGAAAGUCUGAGGCACUGGAGUCAAUAUUCUUACAAAACUGCACUGUUAUUUGAAGUCUUAGGCACACUGGAUUCUGCAGUCACACCUGGAGCUUAUGGGGCAAAGAACUUUCUCCUGAGAGAUGGAAAGGAGACCCUGCCUUGUGUGUUUUAUGAAAUUGCACAAGGUGAUGCUGCAGGAGCCAGUGAAGGGAAAAGUCCUUCCCAGCACAAGGAACAUCCCCAGCACAUCUCACACUCCCUGAUCCUCAACCAGCUGCACCUGCUGGAGGUGCCCAGGACAGGAGGGAGCCCACAGACCUGGACACUGAGUUCUUGGCAGCUGUGUUUCUGCAUCUAGGGUCUGACAUUACCCAAACAUGCAGAAGCUGAAGCUAAAUACAAAGAAUGUUUGAGUCUGCAUCACCUGAGUUCUCACACGUGGUGUUUGUUGUUGCUGAGUCCUCAUCACCUGAGUCCUCCCCAGUAACUCCCAGCCACUGCUGACUGCAGGGCAGCCCAAAGGCAAGUCCAGCACAGUGGGUCAACAGAAGUUCUUGUGGCUGUCAGAGCGACGUGCCAGGACUCUCAUUUGGGAUUGUGUCCAGUUCCUACUCCCUUGGCAACACGUGAAGUACCACCUCCCACAGGAGAGUGCAGGCUGAUCGAUAGGAGUCUGAGGAAUCAAUAUGGAUGUGGAUGACGGUGCUGUUUGCCAUUCAGAGCCUGCACACGCUGGGAAAAACAGGGCACCAUCGAUCCCAAAGAGCCAGACGCAGCAGGAAUGUGUCCCCCCGCCACAGGCAAAGGUGAUGUUUCCACCUCUGCCAACGGGAUGGCACUGGCAGCGAGCUCGUCCCUGUACCAUCAGGGCCACGUGCCAGCCCAGCCAGGGGCACAGUGUGGCCAGGGAUGGUGAGAGGACCCAUGACCCUCCUCCUCCAGCACCCAGCUCGUGGCAGCAAUCAAAGAACAUGAGGGCACCUUGGCCUCAGCACUGCGGCAGCCACGUCAACUCCUGUCAUUUCACAGCAAAUUCCAUGGAAUGUUUCUGGCUUUGGUUUUCCUUAAUUGUGGUAGCACAAAUCCCCUAAAAACUCACAACUCCUGCUGGAAACAACCGAUGAGCCGCUUGGGCUGCUAAUCCCCACGGAGAGGUGUGAAGAUGUUUUUCAGGACAAAGUGACAUGAAAAAGGGUACAAACAGGAUGGGUGCAGGGCUUCAGCUGGGAACUGUUCCAAGUGCUCCUGCCCUGUCCUGGAGUCACACCUGCAGGUCAAACAGCCGCUUUUGAAGGAAAAUAACAAGGCUUAAGUUUGAAGAAGUCCAUGGAGCAAAGGAUUUGGUUGAUGGGGACCUGCCCACACCACAGCACGCACAGAGGUACCUCUUCCCAGCCCAAAUUUAGCUGCUUGUGCGCAAAAUUCAGCACCACCUGCACCAGGACACAGCUCAGCCAGUUCCAGCCUUCCAGGAAACUUUCCCGCUUUCCAGCUAAUCAGAGCCUGCACUAGAAGAGGAGUGACAGAUUUUCCAAAUAUCUUCCCAUCUCCAUGAGCAAUCUCCUGAUUCACUGGGAUCAGGGCUGCUGUGUAACUACUCUGCAAACCUGACCUGAGCAGGCAAACCUCAGAUGACAUCGGGGACCCAGGGCUGGACUGACACGGCGAGAAACCAGCAAUGAAGGUUUAUGAAACCCUUCAGCAUUUCCCAGUGAAAGGGACUGAACGGCUCCCCCAGCCCUUCAACAAAUCGGCACAUUUGAGCAGGGAAACCGCUGGAAACGUGCACGUUUCAGGAAACAAAAAGAACAACGUUCCCCAGGGACGGACACCCCGGCUGUGGGCUGUGCCCACCCCGUGUGCUGCAGGGACCGUGAUGGGAUUUAAGCAACCACAGGCAGACCCGGUGUCCUGGGAGAGAUAACAGCGCAGCUCCACGGCAGGCUGAGCACCCCAGCUGCUGACACCCUUUGUGCCAGGCACAGCCACGACCUCUUGGGGAUGCUGCCCUGUAUUGUGAUCUGGAGGAAGUCCAAGCUUGUGUGUUCUGAGCAGCAGCAGUGAAAUCGCACUCACGACCUCGGGGUUUCUCCAAAGUCUUGGGGGCAGAGUGGGGAGAGAGCGAGGCAAAGCGGCUGCCCGGGAGCCUGCGCUUACUUUAGGUGUAAAAGCUGCGCCUCCCAGUGCAGAUGGAUUUUUACAACAGUCAUUCUGAAACUUCAUGGAUCAGGUUUUAUUCCUUCUAAACCUCCUGGUCGCUGUCGCUGUGCAGCAGGAAUUGAUGUCUUGUCCUUACGCCUCGCAGAUCUGACGGGGUUUUCUCGACCUCCAGAAGCUCAGCUGUCCCCCCGAGCGGACUCACGUCCAUCAGCCGCAAGCCAAAAAAGCCAAAUCCUUUCUUAAUAUAGCAAAAAAUAUCUUUAUCCCGCCCGAACGUCCUCAGCCGUGUUUGAGGCACUUAACCGCCGACACCGCUGAAACAGUUAAAGUAUUUAGGACACCGUAGAAUGGCCAAGAACUUGGGAAAAACAAGGCGGAUUGGAGAAAGGUCAUCUGAGGCUGGGACUGGGAGAAUUCCCUUCUUUGAAAUCCCCAGCAGAGUUGAGAAGCCGGUACCAACCCUCCUGUUCCCAUGGACUGAGGUCAGCCACAUCCAAAUUUGCUGGGAAUUCUGUAUGUGCAUGCAGACACUUGUUUUCCCAUUUAAAAAAAAAAUAAAAAGGAGAAAAAUAUAAGUCUGUAAUUGAAGCUGCUGAGACUGCAGUUUCGGAGCAGCCCUGCUGUGAUGUAUCAGUUCCUUCUUCUUCAUUUUCCAGCUUCCCCAGCAUCCUGUUGUGCACAAAUAUAUGUCUGUGCUGCAUCUUUCCCACUCUUCCCCACCACUUAUUCUUGGAUUCUUAGUGAUUAUGCCUGUAUUGCUUAUUUUGCAAGAUGUCUGAUUAUUUGUUUGAAAUAAUAUUGUAUUAUUUUUUAACAGUUCCAAUGGCAAUGUUUGGAAUAUAUGGGUUUUAAGCUCUAGUGUGUUUCUGUACAAAGGCAUUUUUGACUCCUUAUAUAUUUUGGGCAUUAUUACUGAUUCCAGAGUAAGAUCUCGGCUGUUAAAGCCCUUAGUCAUACAGUUUUUAUUAUUUGUAUUCCCAAAGUAGUGAGAAGUCUAAAUGUGAGAGAGAAUCUCAGCAUCAUGUGAAUACAUGUAAACAAAUGGACUGUCCCACAGAUGUGAGAAAUGGGAAUGGCCUCUAACACGAUUUGUUACAUUUGUGUUUUUGUGCUGUAACUGAGCAGGGCAGUUCCCCGUGAUUAAUUACCCACGUCAAAGACGCCAAAGUCUUGUUCUGCUUUAUUAGUUCUGUCCAAACAAGAUUGCUCCAUUUAGAUCUUAUUAAAGUUUGUUUAUUUUUCUAGCUGUGGAGAGGGAAAAAUCACCAGGCAGGGAGGCUUUUUAUUUGAAUAUUUUAAUUCAGGGAGGAGUCCCUCAGCUUCUCUGACAUUGGCCAACCCAUGUCCUGAAGUCAUGUUUCAGCUGAUUGCUCAGACAAUUAAACUCUCACGUGCUAUUAAAGACUCCGGAACCUGCUGUCACUCACUCUUCCAGUUCAGAUCUCCAGUGACCAACAGCAGAUUGGAGCUUCAGCCCUUCUCCACAUUCCCAGAAAAGGGAGAAAAUUUUAAUCCAGGAAAGGUAAUUCAUGUCAGACCCUCAUAUCUUGAGGUUUCCUCAGUUAUCCAGAAUCUGAUGCAAAGAAAAUUGAAUUAUCCCCAAGACUCUGACAGGUUGGAUGAGGUUUUUGGAAAAGGAGCUGCUGCUUGAAAAUGAGUUGCAACAUAGAAGGUUACAUAGAAGGUUUUCCUCACCAAGUGGGGUGAGCAAUGCCUGCAAUUCACCCACCGAAAAGGAUGUAAAUCACUGCAUUCUUCUUCAACCCAGCAUUGAAAUCCAAGAGGAGUGGGUGCAAAUUUCUUUGACAGAGGCUGUUAAUUCAGUGUUCCCUGAGUCAUCCCAUU